AGGGGCCGGGAGACACCGUGGGGGACCUCCCACAGGCUCCGUAGCCCCCCUUGGCCAGAGUCCAGGGCACACAGCUGUCCCCAAGCCCCCCUGUCCAGCACGGUGAUGGUCCCAGCCCUCCCUCUGCCUGUUACUGUCUUGGGGGAAAGAAGAACUUGGGGUCUAAAAAGCCACAGCCCUGUCUUUUUCCUCUCUUUAGCGCGCCAUCAUCUCUCAGUGUGCACAGGACCCCCUGCAGACACCCAAAAUCUGCAGGUGUCAAGUCCCAUGUGUUACAUGGCAUAGGAUCUGCAUAGAGCCUAUACAAUCCUCCGUAUUCUUUUUUAAAUUUUUUUAAAAUUUGUUUGAAAAGACAGUUACAGAGAGAGAAGGAGAGACAUAGCUAGAAAGAUCCUCUAUUAGAUAGACUGAGAGACCAGAGAGAUCUUCUCUCUCUGCUGGUUCACUCCCCAAAUGACCCAACAACCAGGGCUAGGCUAGGCUGAAGCCAGGAGCCUGGAACUCCAUACGAGUCUCCCAUGUGAGUCUCCCACAUACUUGGGUCAUCAACUGCUACCUUCCCAGGGAGCUGGAUUGAAAAUAGAGCAGCUGGGACUCGAACCAGUACCCAUGUGGGAUGCGGGUGCUGCAGGCUGUGGCUUCGUGGCUUAAUUCACUGUGCCACAGCGCCAGCUCCUCUCCCAUAUACUUUAAACCACCUCCAGACCCUUAGAAUACCUAAUACAAUGUAUACGUUGUAUUAGGUAUACAUUAUACAAUGUAUUAGGUAUGCAUUAUACAAUGUAUUAGGUAUGCAUUAUACAUUGUAUUAGGUAUGCAUUGUACAAUGUAUUAGGUAUACAUUAUACAAUGUAUUAGGUAUGCAUUGUACAAUGUAUUAGGUAUACAUUAUACAAUGUAUUAGGUAUGCAUUGUACAAUGUAUUAGGUAUGCAUUAUACAAUGUAUUAGGUAUGCAUUGUACAAUGUAUUAGGUAUGCAUUGUACAAUGUAUUAGGUAUGCAUUAUACAAUGUAUUAGGUAUACAUUAUACAAUGUAUUAGGUAUGCAUUGUACAAUGUAUUAGGUAUACAUUAUACAAUGUAUUAGGUAUGCAUUGUACAAUGUAUUAGGUAUGCAUUAUACAAUGUAUUAGGUAUGCAUUGUACAAUGUAUUAGGUAUGCAUUGUACAAUGUAUUAGGUAUGCAUUAUACAAUGUAUUAGGUAUGCAUUAUACAAUGUAUUAGGUAUGCAUUGUACAAUGUAUUAGGUAUGCAUUAUACAAUGUAUUAGGUAUGCAUUAUACAAUGUAUUAGGUAUACAUUAUACAAUGUAUUAGGUAUGCGUUAUACAAUGUAUUAGGUAUGCAUUGUACAAUGUAUUAGGUAUACGUUAUACAAUGUAUUAGGUAUGCAUUGUACAAUGUAUUAGGUAUACGUUAUACAAUGUAUUAGGUAUGCAUUAUACAAUGUAUUAGGUAUGCAUUGUACAAUGUAUUAGGUAUGCAUUGUACAAUGUAUUAGGUAUACGUUAUACAAUGUAUUAGGUAUACAUUAUACAAUGUAUUAGGUAUACAUUAUACAAUGUAUUAGGUAUGCAUUAUACAAUGUAUUAGGUAUACAUUAUACAAUGUAUUAGGUAUGCAUUAUACAAUGUAUUAGGUAUGCAUUGUACAAUGUAUUAGGUAUACGUUAUACAAUGUAUUAGGUAUGCAUUGUACAAUGUAUUAGGUAUGCAUUGUACAAUGUAUUAGGUAUGCAUUAUACAAUGUAUUAGGUAUGCAUUGUACAAUGUAUUAGGUAUACGUUAUACAAUGUAUUAGGUAUGCAUUAUACAAUGUAUUAGGUAUGCAUUGUACAAUGUAUUAGGUAUGCAUUGUACAAUGUAUUAGGUAUGCAUUAUACAAUGUAUUAGGUAUGCAUUGUACAAUGUAUUAGGUAUGCAUUGUACAAUGUAUUAGGUAUGCAUUAUACAAUGUAUUAGGUAUGCAUUGUACAAUGUACAGUGCUGUCAGAGUAGCUGUCAAUAACGACAAUGCACAUGUUCAGCGCAGACACAAUAUGGUUUUUUUUUUUUCUAUUUUCAAUCCCGGGUUGCAUGAUGUGGAGGCCAGCUGCCUUUGGCUGUCUUUGCAUGAAUGAGCCAUGUACAGGACUCUUUACCCAGGACUACCUGGGGCUUAUGGAGGAGGGGAAGGAGGCAUUGCAGUCUCUGGGUCACUGCCAGGAUCCAGGCUGGACAAUGAGCACAUCCCACACCCGCUGUGCAUGGAGAGACCCAAGUAGGAGGCUUGGAGGCCCUGUGUCCCUCGGCUCUUCCCAGGGCACCCUUUUCCCAGGGCUGGUGCCGUUUCGUUCCAUUGUCAGGAACAAUGGUGUUCCCACCAGUGCACCCCCACCUCUCCAUGUGCCAGCACUGCGGGACUAGGGCGUUUCCUAAUAUUCCAGCUAACAUUUCCCCCUGCCCGGAGAUGACGGUUGCCUUUGAGAAAGCAACAGUUCCCGUCCUCCCGGCUUCGGCACACAGCACAGGGCGGCGCUGGGGGUUGGGUGGGAAGUGGGCAGCUGCUUCUGGGGCUGCAAGAUGCGGCUGCCUGGGCUCCCGUGGAAGCCAUGAAGAUGGCAAGAUGGCGUGUUAUUGGCUUCGAUUUGAAAGCACAUUAAAAUGUUCUUGGAUU